GAUUCAUACGAAAAAGAUGCCAUGGCUAUCUAUAAAUUAACUGACGAGACGGCUUUUAUAAUGUUUGUAGAAAAAGAUGGCAUAAAUCCGCAAAAUAAAGAUCCAAAGGUAGAUCCAGGUUUCGUUAAUCAAGAAGCGGUGUUUAUUCUAAAACAAUCUAAAGAUCAUAAAGCCUAUAUGGAUGUUAUCGUUAAGCUUCUAGCAAAGGGGAUAAAAGAAGCUAACAGG